UACGUAGGGAGCAAGCGUUGUCCGGAUUUAUUGGGCGUAAAGAGCUCGUAGGCGGUUUGUCGCGUCUGCCGUGAAAGUCCGGGGCUCAACUCCGGAUCUGCGGUGGGUACGGGCAGACUAGAGUGAUGUAGGGGAGACUGGAAUUCCUGGUGUAGCGGUGAAAUGCGCAGAUAUCAGGAGGAACACCGAUGGCGAAGGCAGGUCUCUGGGCAUUAACUGACGCUGAGGAGCGAAAGCAUGGGGAGCGAACAGG
rnacentral:rRNA from 1 species